GUCUUUAUAUAAAGCUUCAAGUAAGAUUCGAUAACCUCCAAAUGCUGAAGAUCAUGCUUGUUUGAGGUGCUAUUUGAGGUUCAUGUUCCUCAAUCUAUCUUAGUCAUUAUGUGUAUAGUGCUACAUUUAGUGACGGGUAUAUACGUAACAUGUCCUACCUGCUUACCAUGCUCAACUAAUUGUGAAAAUCCAAGACUUCAGAAACUAGGUGUUCUCAAUGAGAGAUUCUUAUGCCACAACACCAAGUACGAAUUACUUACAAUCCUUUUCUUUUAAUCAUUUCAAUUACUUUAGUAGCUUGCCAGAUAAAAGGAUGUAACCUCAGAAGGUGUUCGGACUCGAUCUUCACAAGUCCCACAUUGGCCAAAUCACAAACCAACCAAGUCUUUAUAAAAGUUCGGACAAGGAUGACAGCUCGCCGAGUUGGGUAGCGUCAACUUGUGACUCAAGUGAGGGCAUUACGGUGGUGGGAUAAUACGGUGGCUUCUCUGGGUUGGGCUGUGCAUGGCAAAAUGCUGGCCUGCCCAUUCCAAGUUGAGAGCUGACUCAUGGGUCCUGAGCUAAGGCUUGGGUCUCUAGAGUCCUAAAGUGGAGGACACAGCGUGAGGCUGGUUUCACAGAGCAGCGAAAACCUCCCUCUCCUGACAGUGGAGGGAUAACAGGCCGCUGCAAUCAUAGUCCAGUAUGCCCAGGGAGCCCAGUUUACCUAGACCGCCACCAUUUUUGCAACCCUAAAUCCUCUUCCCUUUCUUUAUAUAAAUCUAAUUGCUAAUAUGAACCUAUGUUAUAUGUUUUUCCAUUCUCCUUCCGUUCCUUUUUCUGUUCGAUUUUGUUUGCGCAGGUGGUGCCCCUGCUGUACUGGUUGUUGUGUCUCCCUCAUUCCCACUGUUGAAUAUUCAACUCCCACCCAGGGUUGCUGUUAUAAGAGCAAAGUUUCUAGCCUAUUCUACAUAUACCAUGGGAACCAGAGGAGUAAUUGGAGACAAGUGGUCCAUCACAACAAUUCUUUGAGCUUGUGCUAUUGGAAGUGCUGUCAACCUGUAUAGAAAGCUAAGCACAGAAAAGAGGAUGCUGGCUGAAGAACUAAGGGCAACUGAGUCAGGGGGAGCAAUGGGGAAGACGGCUAAACUAUAUUUUGUGAUAACUAUGUAGUAUCAUAGAGCAUAUGCAAAGUUUCAGAUUUUCUGAAAGGUGUUUCUCCUUAUGAUUUUAAAGUUCCAGAACAACAAGUGGAUUCAACCUCUUGAUCAGGGUCCAAGGAUCUUGGAAAUCACGCUCAGAAUCACUAUCCCACAAAGAUAUUGGCUUGGUUAUUGGCGACCCACUGUAGAAGUCAAAAUGGGUUGCCAAACUGGUGUAUGCUCCAUGUCAAAUAAUCCCCUCAUGGAUGUGCUUCCUUCUUUCAUCAACCCCAACAAACUGCGUGAUUUAUAGAGUGAGGAGAAGGAUGAUGAGGAUGCUAUUAAAGAUGACAAAGAAGAUGAUGCUGAUGACUUAUACAGAGGUUUUUGGUACAGUAUAAUACUCCCUAUCUUUUCCAUCUGUUUUUCUCCGUUGAUAAACCAAUGUGUAUCUUCAUCUAUCUACAAGGAUGCAUAUAUAAUGGACAAACGUGAUGCAUAUGUACCAAAGAUAUAUGUGAUGCAUAUAUACGUCCAAGAUAGUUAUUUUGAUUUUAUACAAUGGACAAAUCAUUUGAAAUUAAUUAUGAAGCCGGCCAAACUUGACA